UCCGGCGCAUGCGACGCGCGCCGCUGGCUGUGGGCCCGUGGGCGCCGGGGCGCUCGGGUCGGGCGGAGGGACCCCGGGGACGCCGGGUGCGCGGCGCUGAGGUGGCGCCCGGUCGCUCUGCGCCACCGCGAAGGCUCCCGACUCGCGUGCCCUCUGCCGGGUCCCACGGGGUCCAGGCAGCAGGCCGAGCGGAUGCGGGGCGCGCGGGGGCGCGGGCGUGCACGGAGGCGUCGGAGCGCCCGGCGGCGGGAGGGAUUUAGUCCUGGGGUUCUCCGCAGGGCAGGGGAGACUUCCGAGGCGUCCCUUGAGGCCGCGGGGCGUCCGCGCUUACUGUUCCGGGGCUCGCGGGGCUGGAGGCCUUCCCGACCCGACCCCAGCAGGAAGCGCGGAGGCCACUAGAGGGCGGCCCAGGAUGGGAGGAGUGAGGAGGG
rnacentral:lncRNA from 10 species